rnacentral:rRNA from 1 species
GAUGAACGCUGGCGGCGUGCCUAAUACAUGCAAGUCGAGCGGACAGACGAGGCGCUUGCUCCUCUCACGUUUGCGGAGGACGGGAGAAUCACACGUGGAUCCCCUACCUAUAUGACUGGUAUAUCUUCGGGACACCGGCGCUUACACCGGAUGAUCUCUUGCACCGCGUGGGUCGAUGGUGAGAUACGGUGUUUCUGGCACGUCUAGCUGCAUCCGGGCCGCAUGAGGUAGUUGUUGAGGUAACAGCUUAUGAAGGGUACGAUGCGUGGCCGACCUGAGAGAGGGAUCGGCCACACUGGAGCUGAGACACGGUCCAGAGGCCUACGGGACGCAGCAGUAGGGAACCGGCCGCAACGGGCGGAAGCCUGACGGAGCAACGCCGCGUGAGUGACGAAGGUCUUCGGAUCGUAAAACUCUGUUAUGAGGGAAGAACCAAUGUGGAAGGAAACAUGCACGUAUUGACGGUACCUGAUCAGAAAGCAACGGCUAACUACGUG